UACGGAGGGUGCAAGCGUUAUCCGGAUUCACUGGGUUUAAAGGGUGCGUAGGCGGGUUGGUAAGUCCGUGGUGAAAUCUCCAAGCUUAACUUGGAAACUGCCGUGGAUACUAUCAAUCUUGAAUAUAGUGGAGGUGAGCGGAAUAUGUCAUGUAGCGGUGAAAUGCUUAGAUAUGACAUAGAACACCCAUUGCGAAGGCAGCUACGCUACACGUAUUAUUGACGCUGAGGCACGAAAGCGUGGGGAUCAAACAGG
rnacentral:rRNA from 1 species